AAAGUGGGUUGGACAAUCGCGGGGGCGUUUUACGCUUCGGAGGAAAGUCCGGGCACCAUAGAGCAGAAUGCCAGCUAACGGCUGGGCGGCGUGAGCCGAUGGACAGUGCAACAGAAAAUAUACCGCCGAUGGCUUGCUUGCAAGCACAGGUAAGGUUGAAAUGGUGCGGUAAGAGCGCACCGCGCAACUGGUAACAGGUGUGGCAGUGAAAACCCCAUUCGGUGCAAGACCAAAUAGGGAAACAACGUUUUAAGCUCGCUUAAAACACCCUGUUGCUCGCAGGGGUUUCCGGGUAGGUUGCUUGAGGUUGGCAGUGAUGUCUAAUCCAGAUGAAUGGUUGUCACUUUUAGGAAAGCAAUUUUUUAAAAGAACAGAACCCGGCUUAUAGACCCACUUUUUAU
rnacentral:RNase_P_RNA from 1 species